rnacentral:rRNA from 1 species
UACGAAGGGGGCUAGCGUUGUUCGGAUUUACUGGGCGUAAAGCGCACGUAGGCGGAUUGUUAAGUCGGGGGUGAAAUCCUGGAGCUCAACUCCAGAAUUGCCUUCGAUACUGGCUUUCUAGAGGCUGGAAGAGGUUAGUGGAAUUCCCAGUGUAGAGGUGAAAUUCGUAGAUAUUGGGAAGAACACCAGUGGCGAAGGCGGCGACCUGGGUAGAUACUGACGCUGAGGCGCGAAAGCGUGGGGAGCAAACAGG